AGUGAACGCUGGCGGUAGGCCUAACACAUGCAAGUCGAACGGCAGCACAGUAAGAGCUUGCUCUUACGGGUGGCGAGUGGCGGACGGGUGAGGAAUACAUCGGAAUCUACUUUUUCGUGGGGGAUAACGUAGGGAAACUUACGCUAAUACCGCAUACGACCUACGGGUGAAAGCAGGGGAUCUUCGGACCUUGCGCGAUUGAAUGAGCCGAUGUCGGAUUAGCUAGUUGGCGGGGUAAAGGCCCACCAAGGCGACGAUCCGUAGCUGGUCUGAGAGGAUGAUCAGCCACACUGGAACUGAGACACGGUCCAGACUCCUACGGGAGGCAGCAGUGGGGAAUAUUGGACAGUGGGCGCAAGCCUGAUCCAGCCAUACCGAGUGGGUGAAGAAGGCCUUCGGGUUGUAAAGCCCUUUUGUUGGGAAAGAAAAGCAGCAGGUUAAUACCCCGCUGUUCUGACGGUACCCAAAGAAUAAGCACCGGCUAACUUCGUG
rnacentral:rRNA from 1 species